GACGAACGCUGGCGGCGUGCUUAACACAUGCAAGUCGAACGGAAAGGCCCUGCUUUUGUGGGGUGCUCGAGUGGCGAACGGGUGAGUAACACGUGAGUAACCUGCCCUUGACUUUGGGAUAACUUCAGGAAACUGGGGCUAAUACCGGAUAGGAGCUCCUGCUGCAUGGUGGGGGUUGGAAAGUUUCGGCGGUUGGGGAUGGACUCGCGGCUUAUCAGCUUGUUGGUGGGGUAGUGGCUUACCAAGGCUUUGACGGGUAGCCGGCCUGAGAGGGUGACCGGCCACAUUGGGACUGAGAUAAGGCCCAGACUCCUACGGGAGGCAGCAGUGGGGAAUAUUGCACAAUGGGCGGAAGCCUGAUGCAGCAACGCCGCGUGCGGGAUGACGGCCUUCGGGUUGUAAACCGCUUUCGCCUGUGACGAAGCGUGAGUGACGGUAAUGGGUAAAGAAGCACCGGCUAAAUACGUG
rnacentral:rRNA from 1 species